AGCGGCGGACGGGUGAGUAACACGUGGGUAACCUGCCCAAGAGACUGGGAUAACACCUGGAAACAGAUGCUAAUACCGGAUAACAACACUAGACGCAUGUCUAGAGUUUGAAAGAUGGUUCUGCUAUCACUCUUGGAUGGACCUGCGGUGCAUUAGCUAGUUGGUAAGGGAACGGCUUACCAAGGCAAUGAUGCAUAGCCGAGUUGAGAGACUGAUCGGCCACAUUGGGACUGAGACACGGCCCAAACUCCUACGGGAGGCAGCAGUAGGGAAUCUUCCACAAUGGACGAAAGUCUGAUGGAGCAACGCCGCGUGAGUGAAGAAGGGUUUCGGCUCGUAAAGCUCUGUUGGUAGUGAAGAAAGAUAGAGGUAGUAACUGGCCUUUAUUUGACGGUAAUUACUUAGAAAGUCACGGCUAACUACGUGCCAGCAGCCGCGGUAAUACGUAGGUGGCAAGCGUUGUCCGGAUUUAUUGGGCGUAAAGCGAGUGCAGGCGGUUCAAUAAGUCUGAUGUGAAAGCCUUCGGCUCAACCGGAGAAUUGCAUCAGAAACUGUUGAACUUGAGUGCAGAAGAGGAGAGUGGAACUCCAUGUGUAGCGGUGGAAUGCGUAGAUAUAUGGAAGAACACCAGUGGCGAAGGCGGCUCUCUGGUCUGCAACUGACGCUGAGGCUCGAAAGCAUGGGUAGCGAACAGGAUUAGAUACCCUGGUAGUCCAUGCCGUAAACGAUGAGUGCUAAGUGU
rnacentral:rRNA from 1 species